rnacentral:SRP_RNA from 1 species
GCCAGGUGUGGUGGUCCACACCUGUAAUCCCAGCUACUUGGGAGGCUGAGGUGGGAGAAUUGCUUGAACCCAGGAGGUGGAGGCUGCAGUGAGCCAAGAUUGCACCACUGCACACCAGCCUGGGUGACAGAGUGAGAAUCCAUCUCAA